GCUUCUGAAGAAUCAUUUGAAGUACUUAGUGGCGGACGGGUGAGUAACGCGUGGGUAACCUGCCUCACACAGGGGGAUAUCAGUUGGAAACGACUGUUAAUACCGCAUAAGCGCACAGUACCGCAUGGUACAGUGUGAAAAACUCCGGUGGUGUGAGAUGGACCCGCGUCUGAUUAGCUAGUUGGUGAGGUAACGGCCCACCAAGGCGACGAUCAGUAGCCGGCCUGAGAGGGUGUACGGCCACAUUGGGACUGAGACACGGCCCAAACUCCUACGGGAGGCAGCAGUGGGGAAUAUUGCACAAUGGGGGAAACCCUGAUGCAGCGACGCCGCGUGAGUGAUGAAGUAUCUCGGUAUGUAAAGCUCUAUCAGCAGGGAAGAUAAUGACGGUACCUGACUAAGAAGCACCGGCUAAAUACGUGCCAGCAGCCGCGGUAAUACGUAUGGUGCAAGCGUUAUCCGGAUUUACUGGGUGUAAAGGGUGCGUAGGUGGCGUGGCAAGUCAGAAGUGAAAACUAUGGGCUCAACCCAUAGACUGCUUUUGAAACUGUCAUGCUGGAGUGCAGGAGAGGAAAGCGGAAUUCCUAGUGUAGCGGUGAAAUGCGUAGAUAUUAGGAGGAACACCAGUGGCGAAGGCGGCUUUCUGGACUGACACUGACACUGAGGCACGA
rnacentral:rRNA from 1 species